UGAGGUCCUCAUUAAUGCAUCGGAUCCCAUUAGAACUCCGUAGUUAAGUGCUCUCAAGCUAGAGUAAUACUAGGAUGGGUGACCACCCGGGAAUUCUUAGUGUUUUAC
rnacentral:rRNA from 1 species